rnacentral:rRNA from 1 species
UACGAAGGGUGCAAGCGUUACUCGGAAUUACUGGGCGUAAAGCGUGCGUAGGUGGUUUGUUAAGUCUGUUGUGAAAGCCCCCGGGCUCAACCUGGGAAUGGCAAUGGAUACUGGCAGGCUAGAGUGCGGUAGAGGGUAGUGGAAUUCCCGGUGUAGCGGUGGAAUGCGCAGAUAUCAGGAGGAACACCAAUAGCGAAGGCAGCUCGCUGGGGACGGUACUGACGCUAAGGCGCGAAAGCGUGGGGAGCAAACAGG